UACGGAGGGUGCGAACGUUAAUCGGAAUUACUGGGCGUAAAGCGCGCGUAGGCGGUUCGGUAAGUGGGAUGUGAAAGCCCUGGGCUCAACCUAGGGGCUGCAUACGAUACGUAUGGGCUUGAGUGCGGAAGAGGGUCGUGGAAUUCCCAGUGUAGAGGUGAAAUUCGUAGAUAUUGGGAAGAACACCGGUGGCGAAGGCGGCGACCUGGUCCGUGACUGACGCUGAGGCGCGAAAGCGUGGGGAGCAAACAGG
rnacentral:rRNA from 1 species